UUUUUUUUUUUUUUUUUCCUUUUCCUUAUUGGCACUUUGGCCUGCGUGGGAGCCUGAGCUGUUGCUUCCUCUGUGAGGAGCCUGGAUUUCUGAUAGCCAGUGCAGCUGGUCCGUGUUCUUUACUCUGCGCCAAAGCUCACGGGUAGUGAUGGAAAGAUAACACCGAGCAGGGGAUGGAAUCUGUACUUUGCUUUGAUGGCUGCUAUUGCUUGCGGCAGAAACUUGUGUGGAGGGACAGACCGGUGCCCUCCUUGGAGAGAAACCAGCAGCGAUGGAAAACUGAGGUGGUGAUAGAGCUAGCGAUCCCUCCCCCACACCAGCUGCUCCCAAUGCUUCCUUCUGUUCUUUGCUCCACAGAGCAGCCUUCCAGUUAGCAGCCUCUGAAGCAGCCCUUCAAGCCCACGACAGGCUGUCCAUCCACAGCAAACGUUCGUGGAGCACCUGUGACGAGCAGAGCAUCACACGAUCAGUCCCCUGCCUACAAGGGACACGCUUGUUGUGCAGCGGAGGAGACACGGGGCUAAA